rnacentral:miRNA from 1 species
AGGGACGGGAUGCUGUGCAGUGUU